AAUGCAUCGGAACGUGCCAUUGAGUGGGGGGGUAACGUAGCGAAAGUUACGCUAAUACCGCAUAUUCUGUGAGCAGGAAAGCAGGGGAUCGCAAGACCUUGCGCUCUUUGAGCGGCCGAUGUCAGAUUAGCUAGUUGGUGAGGUAACGGCUUACCAAGGCGACGAUCUGUAGCGGGGUCUGAGAGGAUGAUCCGCCACACUGGAACUGAGACACGGUCCAGACUCCUACGGGAGGCAGCAGUGGGGAAUUUUGGACAAUGGGGGCAACCCUGAUCCAGCCAUGCCGCGUGAGUGAAGAAGGCCUUCGGGUUGUAAAGCUCUUUCGGCCGGGAAGAAAUCGCAUGGGUUAAUACCCUGUGUGGAUGACGGUACCGGCAUAAGAAGCACCGGCUAACUACGUG
rnacentral:rRNA from 1 species